rnacentral:lncRNA from 1 species
GUAAAAGUAGGACUGUCCUGCAUUAAUUUACUGCCAGGUUUUUUUUGUUUGUUAGUUUUUCAGAACUCUACAGACUUGUCCAUGAAUGGUCAAGAAGACAGCUUGUGUCCUCAAUAGCACACAGAAGCCUAAGGAGCUAGGAUUCCUUGAGAAUUGCAUUUUGGCUCCUCAGUCCCACUGGCAAGGCAUCUUCCUUCUACUGAAUAUGCUCCAGUAAAGGAUUCAAAAGAUUGUAUAAGGACACAAAAGAUGGUAUAAAUACUGCUGUAGGUGCAACUUCAAAUCUUCAUAUUGCAGCUUGGUUUUCUCCCAUUAAAGUUACCUAAAAAAUUCUCAUUAAAAAUCUUUUUAAAGCAAGCAACAUGCAAUUUUUAUGUGAAAAUACUCUUGAAAGCAU